UUUGCAGCAACUGCAUUAAUCAAGAAGCCUACAUCCAUUCCUGAAACAUUGUCACUGCUAGUGUGUAGAAUAUUAGAAGGGUCUCCACCUGUUCCUGUUCACCAGUUUCCAAAGUUUUUUGAGAAAAUAACAACCAGGGAGCUCCCACUGAUUGAGUAUGGCUUCAGCACAGUUGAAGAGUUCCUAGCUUGCAUACCAGAGAUUAGUGUAAUUGAAGAUGAGAAGGAGGAGAAAGUUAUUAAAGUGACUCAGCCUGAAAAGUAAGCCAAGAGGGAGGAUGAAGUAGCUACUAAGGGAAAGACACUCUCGGAUACAUGUACUGCUAAAAAGCAUACUACACAAGCAGGAUGACAUAAGAUAUCUAAAGAACAAUCCCAAGUAGAAAGAGAGGGCACUCAGUGCAUAUGAACCAUAACAGCACUAGGGAUGUAGUCAAGAGAGCCAUUACAGUACUUGGCACAAAGCGCCAAAUGCUGUAUUGGCUGUUUCAUGUUGUAUAUUAACAUAAAAUUCAUAAUGUUUAAUAACUAUUAAUAGUGUGCUCACUGCUCAGUUUAAGUCUUAUGUAAAUAAAUAGUGUAUGUUUGAGUAUAGACAAUUAUAGAACGAGAGGGAGUAAUAGAGAGAGAACUUCUUUUUGUUUAUUCUGGCUGAUUUGUGCCCUCUGAUUUAUUUAUUAUUGUAAUCAAUUCUUGAAUUCAAUGCAUAACAUCUUGCAAGACUAAAGACUCAAUAUACAAUCUUUAUUUUAAUCUUGUUGAAAGAAAUA